UUAUUUGUAGAACAAAAAACUCGAGAGUUUCAGCGGUUUUGCAGUUUCCUGGAAGUUUCUUCCAGAUUUAUGGCACAUAGAAGCUGAAAGUUGCUUCUU